rnacentral:ncRNA from 1 species
UCUUAUUGUGCUACUUGAUGUCUAAGUACGGUGAAACCGCGAAUGGCUCAUUAAAUCAGCUAUGGUUCCUUGGAUCGUACAUUGUACAUGGAUAACUGUACUAAUUCUAGAGCUAAUACAUGCCACUAUGCCCUGACCCGCAAGGGAACGGGUGGAUUUAUUAGAACAGAACCAACCGGGGGCGGCUUCAGUCGUUCCUGUUGCAUUCUGUGAUGACUCUGGAUAACUUCACUGAUCGCAGUCGGCCUUGUGUCGGCGACGGAUCUUUCAAAUGUCUGCCCUAUCAAUUUACGAUGGUAGGUGACCUGCCUACCAUGGUUCUAACGGGUAACGGGGAAUCAGGGUUCGAUUCCGGAGAGGGAGCCUGAGAAACGGCUACCACUUCCAAGGAAGGCAGCAGGCACGCAAAUUACCCAAUCCCGGCACGGGGAGGUAGUGACGAAA